rnacentral:rRNA from 1 species
UACAGAGGAGCCAAGCGUUGUUCGGAAUUAUUGGGCGUAAAGAGCUCGUAGGCGGUUUGUCGCGUCUGCUGUGAAAUCCCGAGGCUCAACCUCGGGUCUGCAGUGGGUACGGGCAGACUAGAGUGUGGUAGGGGAGAUUGGAAUUCCUGGUGUAGCGGUGGAAUGCGCAGAUAUCAGGAGGAACACCGAUGGCGAAGGCAGAUCUCUGGGCCAUUACUGACGCUGAGGAGCGAAAGCAUGGGGAGCGAACAGG